rnacentral:rRNA from 1 species
CAGCCGCCACGGGAAUACGAAGGGUGCAAGCGUUAAUCGGAAUUACUGGGCGUAAAGCGUGCGUAGGCGGUUUGUUAAGUCUGUUGUGAAAUCCCCGGGCUCAACCUGGGAAUGGCAAUGGAUACUGGCAAGCUAGAGUGUGUCAGAGGAUGGUGGAAUUCCCGGUGUAGCGGUGAAAUGCGUAGAGAUCGGGAGGAACAUCAGUGGCGAAGGCGGCCAUCUGGGACAACACUGACGCUGAGGCACGAAAGCGUGGGGAGCAAACAGGAUUAGAUACCCCAGUAGUCCCUGUCUCUUAUAC